UACGAAGGGGGCUAGCGUUGCUCGGAAUCACUGGGCGUAAAGCGCACGUAGGCGGCUUUCUAAGUCAGGGGUGAAAUCCUGGAGCUCAACUCCAGAACUGCCUUCGAUACUGGGAAGCUCGAGUCCGGAAGAGGUGAGUGGAACUCCGAGUGUAGAGGUGAAAUUCGUAGAUAUUCGGAAGAACACCAGUGGCGAAGGCGGCUCACUGGUCCGGUACUGACGCUGAGGUGCGAAAGCGUGGGGAGCAAACAGG
rnacentral:rRNA from 1 species